UCAUUUCCUACAGGAUACAACAAAACAACCAUUCAAUCUAAACUGGCAGAUUGAGCAAGGGCAACAAGUAGAGGAAGCUGGAAUCUGAACUACCGGUAAAAUAUGAAACUAGUUACUGCUUAGCAGUCUCAUAUAGCAGCAUUCACAUCAGGUCCAGCAAAAUACAAUCCACCGCUGGUUUUAGUUUUGUUCAAAGCAUGGAGAAGUGUGAAAAGCUAACAGUUAAGAAGGGAUAAGAGUGAUUUACCUUCGUGUCGAGUAAAGCAAAGAAAUCAUCAGGCACUCCCUUGAAUCUCUGGUAGACUGGACCAACAAUAGUGAUCAUAGCAACCUCCACAGUCCACACAGUCGAUCUCAGAGGCCCCAAGUUCUUCUUCGCGAACUCGUACAGAUUCAGCACAAACAUCAUCAUGUAAAUCACUGCCAUCCUCAAAACCCUCAGGCGCUUCAACUCCUUCUGCAACAAAAUUCAACCAAAGAAAGAGAAUCAAAACACACCUUUUCAGAUAUAGAACAAUGAAAUGUUCAUAGGCUUCUUUCCCCAGCGAUCUCGUUCAUUCUCAUCACUGAUCCCACGCACACUAGUCUGAUUCGAGUCUCCUCCGAGCAAGUUAUGAAGAUCCACAACUCUCUUAUACUGCAUCAUCGGAAGUGGAUGAUACAUUGCCUGACACAGAAAACGAAAAUUUCACAACUCCGAGUCUACAAAAUUCAGUUCCCGAUCGUCACAUUUCAUCAAAAGAGAGAACAAAUCCGAAGCACCGUGCGCGAAUUUGUGUGAUAACUGAACCAAAACGACUCCGAUUCACACAGAUGAACUGGAAAUUUCAAAGCAAGUACCAAAACAAACAUCGAUUCUAUACGACUACGAUUACAAAAGCGAUCGUCGAUCAUUACCUGAAGAAGCGCGUCCUGCUCGGUGAUCUCAGCUUCGUUCGAUUUCUCUGCAAUAAUCUGAGGAAAGUGAAGAAGAUGAUGCAGUGAGAUUAGCGGAGAGGAAAGAUCAGGAGGAAGCAGGUAUGAAGGUUUUCUCACAGAGCUUCUCCGAAGCUUACCAUUGUU